rnacentral:lncRNA from 1 species
UCUACCCCAUUUUCUUUCAGUGGACCGUGCACGUGGUAUACUCGAAAAUUCGGGGAGACCACAACUGUUCCCAUGUUGAGCGAUAAAUAGUAAUAUUUUAUUGUUCAUCCUCCAUCCGGCCGCUCAAACACCCGUUGUAAGAAAGAACAUUUACGGACUGUAAUGGCAGACAACGUCACUUGUCACUACCUCCAUUUUCUUUAAUUAAUUAAUUACACGCGCAGAUACACACAUUUGUGUGUGUAUAUUAGUUGUGUAUGUGUCCUCUAUCUCUCUAUCAAACCCAGGUGAGGUGAGAUGGGAUUUGGCUACUCUAUUCGUUACAAAAAGCUUUUCCAUUCCCUAUUUCCUCCUUUUUAGAGGUCAAAUCCCUUAUCAAGGAAAUUAAGGAAGAUAAAAGCUUCACCUGUAAGAACUUUUUUAUUUGAUUUUUGUUCUUUUAUAUUCCCAUCUUUCAAUAUUAUUUUGUAAAUCAUACGAUUGUAGUACUCUGUUUUGAGUUUUUAUUCUAUUCUUGAAUGUUGAUUCUAGAUGAAGACGUCACUUGUCACUACCUCCAUUUUCUUUAAUUAAUUAAUUACACGCGCAGAUACACACAUUUGUGUGUGUAUAUUAGUUGUGUAUGUGUCCUCUAUCUCUCUAUCAAACCCAGG